rnacentral:rRNA from 1 species
AAUAGAUACCCUGGUAGUCCACCCCGUAAACGUUGGGACUAGUUGUGGGGUCCAUUCCACGGAUUCCGUGACGCAGCUAACGCAUUAAGUUCCCCGCCUGGGGAGUACGGCCGCAAGGCUAAAACUCAAAGGAAUUGACGGGGACCCGCACAAGCGGCGGAGCAUGCGGAUUAAUUCGAUGCAACGCGAAGAACCUUACCAAGGCUUGACAUAUACGAGAACGCUGCAGAAAUGUAGAACUCUUUGGACACUCGUAAACAGGUGGUGCAUGGUUGUCGUCAGCUCGUGUCGUGAGAUGUUGGGUUAAGUCCCGCAACGAGCGCAACCCUCGUUCUAUGUUGCCAGCACGUAAUGGUGGGAACUCAUGGGAUACUGCCGGGGUCAACUCGGAGGAAGGUGGGGAUGACGUCAAAUCAUCAUGCCCCUUAUGUCUUGGGCUUCACGCAUGCUACAAUGGCCGGUACAAAGGGCUGCAAUACCGUAAGGUGGAGCGAAUCCCAAAAAGCCGGUCCCAGUUCGGAUUGAGGUCUGCAACUCGA